GUAGCAUGAAGGUAUAAAAACUAUAUAUCAUCUUUUUGGAAAUUUUCUCUACUUUUAAAAAAUCUAAAAAGAUUAUGUCUUGAUUGCCGGUAUUUAAUCGAUUUUACGUUGUAAAGACAAACGUGACUUUUUGAAAAUGGUGUAAUUUUCCAAAGCAAUUGCCGAUUAUCCAGACGAUUGGCAUUUUUUGUCCUGAUUCACUUUAUGAAGAAAGUAUGGUAUAUUCUUAAAGCAUAUUUUCUCUGCUUUUAAAAUAUGUAAAAAUUAUUGUUAUUACUUUAAAGUAUAUUUCUAAAACAAGAAUUUUCUUGCACAUACGUGUUUUUUUUCUCGAUUUUAUUAGUAAUGUUUACACAAGGCUCAGUUUUACGUUUAUUUCUGUGUUGAAAUAGGGAAAACAAAAUAAAGAUGGUAAGAGAAGAGAAAAUUUCCUUUCCAACAAGCCCUUACAGGCCUUCUAACGCUCAGUAUUUUUUUUAAUUACGAUAAUUUGAAUUUGUGAUCUUCGCAUAGUUUUUAUGGAAAAAUCGGUCAAUAUUUACAUGUAACGUCAAGGUCGACAUUGUUGCGUCUUACUCGAAACAACAAAUUCUUUUAUAAGACUUUUUUGACCAUUUAAAUAAAUAUAUAUAUUACUGAGAUCAAUGCAUAAUACAAAAAUUAGAUUUAAAAAAAAAACAGAUUUUAAUAUCGUUGUAUCUUGUUAUGCUGUAAACUUAAUUUGCAAUUUAAUUAUAUCUAUAUUGGCACGAAAUUUAACAAUACAAAAACUCGCAUUUAUAAAUAAAUACGACUCAUCACUGUAUGAGUUGAUACGAAUUGAAAUAACCACGUGUUUCCGCUAUGGUAGCAGUACACAAACAACAUGAUGGUGAUCCAAAAUCUGAACGUCAAUUUUCAUGAUUAUUUCACGACGAAGAUCAUCACAUCAAUGAAUCAAAUAAUACAGACAUGCCUAAUUGGUAUAAGCAGGUGAGAAUACGUGUAUAUUGACUGAAAUAAGUUUAAAACGCAAUUAGUUCACGUUCAAAAGAAAACUAAAUGUACACAUGUACUAGAUCUUCAUAUUUUAGUGUGCGUAUUUCGUAUUGUUCUGCCAAUUUUGUGUUGCUUUUGAACUUUGAUGCUUUUGACAAUCACUCGUAAGUUCAAAGUAAUAUCAAAGUUGUAAUAAUGGAUAGUUGUUUUCAGUAUGUGUGUACCAGUGUGUAUAUGUGCCACAUUCACUUUGAAUUUUUAGGGUGCUGGCACCUUAUGCAAUAAUACUUUCAUCUGUGAAAACCCACUUGCUAAUCCCACCAUGAACUACGAAGGCCAAUUCAUAUGUAAGGACACCAAUGAACAGACACUUUCCAAUUAUCGUACAUCAUAUACAUGGGUUGUCAAAAUCACUGGAUGGUUUAUCAACACUCCCAAGCUCACGAACAGCCUUGCCCCAGGAAUUUUGCCCUGAAGUAACAUUGCAGUCUAUUGUCUCCUUUCUUUUUACAACCCUGGCAGCCAUGCAGGAUAGAAGCUGAUCCUUUGUACUUGACAGCAAAUAAUAAUGUCUUGGACAAGUUAAAGAAUUUCCUCCAGUCUUACAGAAAAAUGACAGUCGAUAAAAGAAUGGUGGACACAAAGUAAAAGUGCCCUUCAACAUUUUGUUGAAGAUUCCAGUCUGAUUUGGAAUUCAUCUUACAAUAUUUCUGGAUUUGUAUAUUUGGACAUAAACGUCACAUUUUCAACUUAAUGACUAAAUAGUUUUGCGUUAAAUAUUGCCAAUGCUAUCUUUUAUUAUUAUCUCCCUUUAAGAUAACAUGUCAAGUCUUUAUUGUAAACCUUAAGCUCUGUUAUACCAGAAAAAUCUUGUAAUGAAAUCAUUUAGUUUAUUUUUUCUUGUAAGAUUUAAUCCAUGGAAAUAAAAGUUAUUUUUAAUGGCAUCAAGAGAAUGGAAUUUUUUGUUUAACAAAAAGAUUGUAUACAUGUUUUGCAAGGGGUUUGUAAGAAGUAGACCAGAAUUCUUUGCUUGCAAAUUUUGUCGUUCGCCAUUUUUUCACGUCAACUAUUAGAUGAUUUAUCCAUGAUUGAAGCAUUUCAAAAUUGAUAUUCAAUUAGA